rnacentral:rRNA from 1 species
GACGAACGCUGGCGGCGUGCUUAACACAUGCAAGUCGAACGGAAAGGCCCUGCUUUUGUGGGGUGCUCGAGUGGCGAACGGGUGAGUAACCAGUGAGUAACCUGCCCUUGACUAUGGGAUAACUACAGGAAACUGGGGCUCAUACCGGCUAGGCGCUCCUGCGGCAUGGUGGGGGUUGGAAAGUUUCGGCGGUUGGGGGUGGACUCGCGGCUUUUCAGUUUGUUGGUGGGGUAGUGGCUUACCAAGGCUUUGACGGGUAGCCGGCCGGAGAGGGUGACCGGCCACAUUGGGACGGAGUUACAGCCCGGACUCAUACGGACGGCAGCAGUGAGGAAGGUAGCAUAAGGGGCGGGAGCAUGAUGCAGCGACGCCGGGUGCGGGAUGAAGGCCUUCGGGUGGGAUGCCGCUUUCUCCUGUUGCGAAGCGUGAGUGACGGUAAUGGGUAAAGAAGCACCGGCUAACUACGUG